rnacentral:tRNA from 1 species
GGAGAGGUGGCGGAGUGGUCGAACGCGCCGGUCUCGAAAACCGGUAUACUCGCAAGGGUAUCGAGGGUUCGAAUCCCUCUCUCUCCGCCA